GGUGGCUCAGUGGUAGAGCACUUGCCUUGCAUGCUCGAGGCCCUGGGUUUGAUUCCCCAGCACCA
rfam:Dipodomys ordii contig_40132, whole genome shotgun sequence.